GGGAGCCAUACGAGCGGCGGAGGACUCACCUGCAGCAACACCGCCAGCAGGAAGCACAGAAAUAACCAGUUCUUCAAACGCUCUUAGAACCAGCUUUACCAUCCUACUGCUUCCUUCAUCAAUUAAAAUAAAAUCAUUGACAUGGGUUCAUUCUGUAUAGAAGCAUACGAGAGAGAAAUCAGCAAUGAUUCCUAUGUUUCUGGAUUCAACAACUGGGAAAAUGGAGCAACAUACCUUAAUAAAGACAGCCAAAGUCCAAAUACCUCUGUCAACAUUAAGUUGAUAUAAACACAGCAAAUGUGAUGGGAGUGACCAGAUCACAAGGAAGCCAGAUUUUGAGGACAGAUGUCUGGGAGGAAGGAGCAAGAAGACAAAGGGAGGAAAAGCAAAAAGAACAUGGAAUUAGCGGUGAGAUGGACGUGUCUCCGUGUUCUGGCCUCCCAAACCAACAACUGUCAUUCAAAAA